rnacentral:rRNA from 1 species
AGCGAACGUUAGCGGCGGGCCUAACACAUGCAAGUCGAACGCGAAAGGUCUUCGGACUGAGUAGAGUGGCGCACGGGUGAGUAACACGUAGGUAAUCUACCCUUUGGCGGGGAUAACGUUCCGAAAGGAGCGCUAAUACCGCAUAAGACCACGGAGUCUCCGGACGCUGUGGGAAAAGGUGGCCUCUUCUUGAAAGCUACCACCGAAGGAUGAGCCUGCGUCCCAUCAGCUAGUUGGUAAGGUAAUGGCUUACCAAGGCGAAGACGGGUAGCUGGUUUGAGAGAAUGAUCAGCCACACUGGCACUGGAACACGGGCCAGACUCCUACGGGAGGCAGCAGUGAGGAAUAUUGGGCAAUGGGGCGAAAGCCUGACCCAGCCACGCCGCGUGAGUGAUGAAGGCCCUCGGGUCGUAAAGCUCUGUGGAGAGGGACGAAAACCCUGGUUUCAAAUAGGCUCCAGGCUUGACGGUACCUCUUUAGCAAGCACCGGCUAACUCUGUGCCAGCAGCCG